GGCCCAUGAACCCACAUGGCUGAAUUCUCGUUCUGUUGAAGAGAGAUCAAAUGGUUGCCAUCCUUAUACUGAGAACUUAAUACAUCAUCAUAGCCAAUAGUUGUGCCUCCAGGAGCAGUGGGGGGAUUCUUUUCAGCAGACCUUUGCUUGUUGAACUCCCAAACCCAUAUGCAGAAGCAACAGCACCAGAUUGAGGCAAGCUGCUUACAGAAACAUUAUUCUUGUAUUGUGGGAGCACUGCUGCAAGGGACUGAUGAUAUGUGCUAUUACCAGCAAAGGUCUGCUG
rnacentral:misc_RNA from 1 species